rnacentral:tRNA from 1 species
GCGAGGAUGGUGGAAUUGGUAGACACGCAUGUUUGAGGGGCAUGUGGAGAAAUCCGUGUGGGUUCAAGUCCCACUCCUCGCACCA